rnacentral:rRNA from 1 species
AGCGCGUCGGCGUGUGCGGGAGAUGCGUGGUCUGCAGUUGCAGCUCCUCCAAGUUGCGCUUCGCUGCGCAAAGGACCUCGAUCUCGUCCGCUGCGUCGGGGAUCUUGGGCAUGCGGUUUCCCCCACGGGUGGCGGGCUUGCUGUUUUCCCCGCGGGCAGCGACCUCAACGUCUGCGACAUCGGCGGUUGGGGAGGCGCACUCCUCCUCGUCAUUCUCCAUUGAAAGCCCUCCACUCUUCUCUGUGCAGUGCAGACCAACAGCCGUCCGGCGGGGAGAAGGCAUGGUGUCACCGACAGGAGCGCAUCGCGUAG